GUCAAUCUUCAUCCCAGUCUUUUCAGUCUACGUAUAUAGAACCAAAUGAAAGAGGAAAAGUGAAAAAUAUUUCGAAACAAGUCCUCUCUUGUCUUCAUCCACCAGUAGAGAGCAAAACGAUAUUUUUUUGAGAGGCAGUCUACACAUUCGUUUCAUUUCGUCGCUGAGGUUGGCGGCCAGUUGCGGGAAAGACGACUUUGAGAAGAAAAACGGAGAUCUCUUUUCAAGCUGCCAUUCACGAGCCCAUUUCCCGUUUGAUGAGGAGACUCGCCACGUACGGAAAAGCGCUUUGACGGGAAGGGGAAAGAGAGGAGAAAUCGGCAGAGUAGGAGCAACGGUUUCUUUCUGGCAAACAGAUUGUCAACGUGGUUUCAUGCACCCGGUGAAGAUCAGCUCAAAUCGAUUUUAGAAAUGGCUGCACAAAUGCAAAUGACGAUGUUUCUUUUGGUUGGGAGUUGGUUGGCUAUUUUGAAACUGAUUUUGGUCAGACCUAACAAUAACAUUUCACGUCUAUGCAUGCAUAAAUCUUUACGAAUGGGCCAGAUUCCACGUUGAGCUUAUAUCCACAACGUUGAAUGUUGAUGGAUGAGCGGACAUGUCCUCAUCCAUUUAAUGGAUUGGCUUUUAUCUCCCUAGAACACUCUGAAGAACUAUUUGGUCUUAAGUUAUGGAAAUGUUAUCCAUUAUGGACAGCCUC